rnacentral:rRNA from 1 species
UACAGAGGUCUCAAGCGUUGUUCGGAUUCAUUGGGUGUAAAGGGUGCGUAGGUGGCGUCGUAAGUCAGGUGUGAAAUCUCGGGGCUCAACCCCGAAACUGCACUUGAUACUGCGAUGCUUGAGUACUGGAGAGGAGAUUGGAAUUUACGGUGUAGCAGUGAAAUGCGUAGAUAUCGUAAGGAAGACCAGUGGCGAAGGCGAAUCUCUGGACAGUUACUGACACUGAGGCACGAAGGCCAGGGGAGCAAACGGG